rnacentral:misc_RNA from 1 species
UGCAGUUCGGCGGACCCGUGGGGUAGUUGCCGGGUCGCGCUGGGCUCCCUGGAGCUUGCUCGGUUGUUCGGUGCGAUCCGGCGUUGGAGGACGGGCGGUCCUGCCCCCCAACGCUACUUGCCGGCGUUGGGGGUCAGGACUGCCUGGCUUGGAGAGGGGACGCUCCUGGACAUGUGUCCCCAUUCUGCAGACGGUAGACUGGUCCGGUUGAGCGUCCCCUGCGUGGGGUGGCCGGCUGGAGGGACAGCAAGAUCUUCGGCUGGCUUGAGACCGCACGCGCGAGACGUGGGAGCGCUC